rnacentral:rRNA from 1 species
CCUACGGGUGGCAGCAGUGGGGAAUAUUGGACAAUGGGCGCAAGCCUGAUCCAGCCAUACCGCGUGGGUGAAGAAGGCCUUCGGGUUGUAAAGCCCUUUUGUUGGGAAAGAAAAGCAUUCGGUUAAUACCCGAGUGUUCUGACGGCACCCAAAGAAUAAGCACCGGCUCGCUUCGUGCCAGCAGCCGCGGUAAUACGAAGGGUGCAAGCGUUACUCGGAAUUACUGGGCGUAAAGCGUGCGUAGGUGGUGAUUUAAGUCCGUUGUGAAAGCCCUGGGCUCAACCUGGGAAUUGCAGUGGAUACUGGGUCACUAGAGUGUGGUAGAGGAUAGUGGGAUUUCCGGUGUAGCAGUGAAAUGCGUAGAGAUCGGAAGGAACAUCGGUGGCGAAGGCGACUAUCUGGGCCAACACUGACACUGAGGCACGAAAGCGUGGGGAGCAAACAGGAUUAGAUACCCUUGUAGUC